GUGUAGAUAUCUACACAGAAGAGAAGGUUAGUACUCCCCUUAAGAAGGGUGAAAGAGGUCCUAGUGGCCUUUAAAACACAUAUAUGGUUAAGGCACCGAACCAAGUUUUUUU
rnacentral:ncRNA from 1 species